rnacentral:rRNA from 1 species
UACGUAGGGCGCAAGCGUUGUCCGGAAUUAUUGGGCGUAAAGAGCUCGUAGGCGGUUUGUCGCGUCUGCUGUGAAAACGCGAGGCUCAACCUCGCGCCUGCAGUGGGUACGGGCAGACUAGAGUGCGGUAGGGGAGAUUGGAAUUCCUGGUGUAGCGGUGGAAUGCGCAGAUAUCAGGAGGAACACCGAUGGCGAAGGCAGAUCUCUGGGCCGUAACUGACGCCUGGAGGAGCGAAAGCGUGGGGAGCGAACAGG